CCUACGGGAGGCAGCAGGGAGGAAUAUUGGACAAUGGACGCAAGUCUGAACCAGCCAUGCCGCGUGCAGGAAGACGGCUCUAUGAGUUGUAAACUGCUUUUGUACGAGGGUAAACGCAGAUACGUGUAUCUGUCUGAAAGUAUCGUACGAAUAAGGAUCGGCUAACUCCGUGCCCGCAGCCGCGGUAAUACGGAGGAUUCAAGCGUUAUCCGGAUUGAUUGGGUUUAAAGGGAGCGUAGGUGGUCGGAUAAGUUAGAGGUGAAAUCCCGGGGCUCAACUUCGGAAUUGCCUCUGAUACUGUUCGGCUAGAGAGUAGUUGCGGUAGGCGGAAUGUCUGGUGUAGCGGUGAAAUGCUUAGAGAUCAGACAGAACACCGAUUGCGAAGGCAGCUUACCAAGCUACUUCUGACGUUGAGGCACGAAAGCGUGGGGAGCAAACAGGAUUAGAUACCCGGGUAGUC
rnacentral:rRNA from 1 species